rnacentral:rRNA from 1 species
CCUACGGGCGGCAGCAGUGGGGAAUAUUGGGCAAUGGGCGCAAGCCUGACCCAGCAACGCCGCGUGAAGGAAGAAGGCCUUCGGGUUGUAAACUUCUUUUCUCAGGGACGAAGAAAGUGACGGUACCUGAUGAAUAAGCCACGGCUAACUACGUGCCAGCAGCCGCGGUAAUACGUAGGCGGCAAGCGUUAUCCGGAUUUAUUGGGUGUAAAGGGCGUGUAGGCGGGAGCGCAAGUCAGAUGUGAAAACUCAGGGCUCAACCCUGAGCCUGCAUUUGAAACUGUGUUUCUUGAGUGCUGGAGAGGCAAUCGGAAUUCCGUGUGUAGCGGUGAAAUGCGUAGGUAUACGGAGGAACACCAGUGGCGAAGGCGGAUUGCUGGACAGUAACUGACGCUGAGGCGCGAAAGCGUGGGGAGUAAACAGGAUUAGAUACCCCAGUAGUC